rnacentral:lncRNA from 10 species
ACCCGCCUUGGCCUCCCAAAGUGCUGGGAUUACAGGUGUGAGCCACCGUGCCUGGCCUCCAACUUGCAUAUCUUUAUGAGCCAGUUAUUGCUUAUAACUGCAUUGUCCUAUACAUCCAACUUUAUUCAGAAUAAGAACUAGUUUCACAGAUGCCUUAAAUUCAAAUACCCAAGGGAUCUUAGUGUCUUUCUCUCCCAAGCUUUUACCUCCUUUGUGUUUAUUCACCUCGGUGAGCACACAUGCCCACGCCAGAAACCUGUGAGUCAUUCCUGAAUCUUCCCUUAUGUUUCUUCCUCCCUACGACCAUUUGAUGUUUAACGUUUUGUCCAGAUAGUGUACUGAAUAUUCUCAAAUGUGUCCUCUUCUCUCUAAUCCAUUGCUACCCCUUAGGUUUACCUAGUUUGGACUAGUUGUUUUUAGCUAUUUGUUGCCAUAUGAAUAGCUGUCUGUUAGAUUUCUUCAGUAACUGCAUGUCAUCCAGAAUCUGCAGCUCUCUGCGGUAAUUUUUAUAUUAUCGUGUUUUCAUUUGGAUGAUAUUUUAAAACAUGAACAAUUGUGGAUCACCUCAAUGGCUUCCUUGGAGCUGAGUACUGACAAUUGAUUUUGGUACCUGCACCAAAUCUGUCUCCUGCAUGGAAAUCUGUCUCCAUACAAGUGAUGUCAUCAUUCACAUUGAAUUAAUAAAUUAAUUUGAAUUGUAUUGUUUUUGUUAGUUUAUACACAUUUUUAUAGUUGCAAAAGAGCUAUAAGCAUAAGAUGCUUGCACUUAAUUUUAUAUCUAAAUAACAAUAUACUAACAAUAUUUAAGUGGAGUUUUGGCUCUAGGAUAAUUUAUCCUUUUAAAGAGGGU